UACGUAGGGGGCAAGCGUUGUCCGGAUUUAUUGGGCGUAAAGAGCGUGUAGGCGGCCAUACAGGUCCGUUGUGAAAACUGGAGGCUUAACCUCCAGACGUCGAUGGAAACCGUAUGGCUAGAGUCCGGAAGAGGAGACUGGAAUUUACGGUGUAGCGGUGAAAUGCGUAGAUAUCGUAAGGAAGACCAGUGGCGAAGGCGGGUCUCUGGACAGUUCCUGACGCUGAGGCACGAAGGCCAGGGGAGCAAACGGG
rnacentral:rRNA from 1 species